UACGGGGGGGGUAAGCGUUGUUCGGAAUUACUGGGCGUAAAGGGCUCGUAGGCGGCCAACUAAGUCAGACGUGAAAUCCCUCAGCUUAACUGGGGAACUGCGUCUGAUACUGGAUGGCUUGGAUUCGGGAGAGGAAUGCGGAAUUCCAGGUGUAGCGGUGAAAUGCGUAGAUAUCUGGAGGAACACCGGUGGCGAAGGCGGCAUUCUGGACCGACAUUGACGCUGAGGAGCGAAAGCCAGGGGAGCAAACGGGG
rnacentral:rRNA from 1 species